GGUUUUGCUGUCCUUUUUUACUUCUUCACAGGAAAGAAAGGCCUAGAAUAAUUUCUUAUUGUGGCAGUAAAAUCUCAUUUAACAUUCUCAGCUCUUUAUUGUAGAAUGACUUCUAUAUAGCACUACAACUCAUGUGUAAAGAGGAAGGAGAAGGACCUUUGGAAGCCUCUGGUCCCAUCACACCUGAUACAGCUGAAGUUUUCUCACUGCCUGAAUUCUUUAAUUGGAAAAGACUCAAGACAAAUAUGAGAGGCCACCAGAUCCCUUCCUGUCAUCUGAAUGCCAUCCUCUUCUGCAUGGAGGAAGCCCCCUAAGGCCAUCUCAUCUACUUGUAAAAAGUCUCUUUUCUGCUGUGGUGCCUGUAAGAAACUGUUGAACAGCUGCUGUUUAACAGUUUGAGUGAGGUGGCUGUAAAACAGGAGCUAAAAUAAAAGCGUAAGAAACUGAUACA
rnacentral:lncRNA from 1 species